rnacentral:RNase_P_RNA from 1 species
AAAGCAGAUUGGGCAAUCGCGGUGCUAUCGGCAUCGAGGAAGGUCCGGACUCCGUAGAACAGGAUAACGGUUAACGACCGUCCAGUGACUGACGCGCCUGGCGCGAAAUGAUCUGAGGAAUAGGGCCACAGAGACGAGUCUGCAGUGUGGGUGAGCCUUAAAACUCACUCCGCCACGGCCUGGCCGUGAUGAAGCGUUGCGCAAGCGACGCAGCACUGCAGGGUGAAACGCGGCAACCUCUAUCCGGAGCAACAUCAAAUAGGCAUGCGUGUGACCUCGGUCGCGACGGGCGGUUCGUUCAAGUAUGCGGGUAGAUGGCUAGAGCCUGUCAGCAAUGGCAGGCCCAGAGGAAUGAUUGCCGACCGGUGAAAACCGGUUUACAAAAUCCGGCCUAUAGAUCUGCUUUGCAA